UAUAAGUAAAGUAAUUCCCAAAACGAGUGCAUUCUUUCCAGAGAAAAUGGUGAUCAAGGCUAUCAUAACGUUUCUUAUGGCCGUCUUCUUGAUGGGUGCUCAAGUCUCUGCUAAAGCUUUCAAGCAUUCCCAAACGCCAGCCUUAGGUCUCAGGGUAUAGAAAGGGUCACUUUUGACCUAUUAGUUGACCUGUUAGCAGUAAGUAAUGACCUCUUGAGAAGUGGCAGUCACUGGAGAGGGCUGUUAUUCUCAAAAUAAAUAUGCUAAAAUAAA
rnacentral:lncRNA from 1 species